AACGAACGCUGGCGGCAGGCCUAACACAUGCAAGUCGAGCGGACCUUUCGGGGUCAGCGGCGGACGGGUGAGUAACGCGUGGGAAUAUGCCCUUCUCUACGGAAUAGUCCUGGGAAACUGGGGGUAAUACCGUAUACGCCCUUUGGGGGAUAGAUUUAUCGGGGAAGGAUUAGCCCGCGUUGGAUUAGGUAGUUGGUGGGGUAAUGGCCUACCAAGCCGACGAUCCAUAGCUGGUUUGAGAGGAUGAUCAGCCACACUGGGACUGAGACACGGCCCAGACUCCUACGGGAGGCAGCAGUGGGGAAUCUUAGACAAUGGGGGCAACCCUGAUCGAGCCAUGCCGCGUGAGUGAUGAAGGCCUUAGGGUUGUAAAGCUCUUUCAGCUGGGAAGAUAAUGACGGUACCAGCAGAAGAAGCCCCGGCUAACUCCGUG
rnacentral:rRNA from 1 species